UUAACCCAUGGACUGUUAGGAUGGAGGGAAUCCUUCCCGCUCGAUUCCUAUCGCGGAGUCCUUUCGGAGCAUCGCUAUUGAUCAUUCUCGCCGCCCCAACCCCGUUGUUUACUUUGGCUUCGCAGAUCUCUGUGGUCUUUUGCCCUCCCGCAGCGCCCAUGGCCCCGUCAAGGUUGGGCAGCCUUUCUCUGCAAGAAGGCC
rnacentral:lncRNA from 1 species